rnacentral:sRNA from 1 species
UGAGGUCAAAUGCUCAGAAGUGUUGUGAGGCUUGUGCCUCUGCAGAGAAAUCCUGCAAAUCUGUGCAUGAUACACCUCUUCUGAGGUGCAUCAUGCGCGGGCGAGUGUUUAUCUUCGUGGGGGUGGCAGCUGGGGAGGACAUGACCAGCUACAAAAGUCAUCUUCAUCAUUUAGUUAAACAAUUGGAUGCACCUCAUCUGGUGAUGCUGUCUGCUCAGAGCAGGGCAGAGAUGAAUGCUCUAUAAUUCCAGUGCCAGACAACAGCUGAGUCUGCAGGGGUGCAGGUUUUGAAGACUGUGAUUGUGUCUGAUCCUUUCAGAGCAGAGACAUUAGAGGAAGAGAAGGGUGUGAAGAAGAAUAUGAGGG